GGAGUUAGCCGGUGCUUCUUCUGUGAGUGAUGUCCUUCCUGCCGGCUAUUAACCCGCAGGCCUUCUUCCUCACUGAAAGUGCUUUACAACCCGAAGGCCUUCUUCACACACGCGGCAUGGCUGGAUCAGGGUUGCCCCCAUUGUCCAAUAUUCCCCACUGCUGCCUCCCGUAGGAGUCUGGGCCGUGUCUCAGUCCCAGUGUGGCUGAUCAUCCUCUCAGACCAGCUACGGAUCGUCGCCUUGGUGAGCCGUUACCUCACCAACCAGCUAAUCCGACAUAGGCUCAUCCGAUAGCGCGAGGCCCGAAGGUCCCCCGCUUUCCCCCGUAGGGCGUAUGCGGUAUUAGCCUGGGUUUCCCCCAGGUUAUCCCCCACUACCGGGCAGAUUCCUAUGCAUUACUCACCCGUCCGCCGCUCGCCACCAGGGAGCAAGCUCCCCGUGCUGCCGCUCGACUUGCAUGUGUUAGGCCUGCCGCCAGCGUCAUCUGAACCAACGAUACAACUACUGA
rnacentral:rRNA from 1 species